rnacentral:rRNA from 1 species
CUUACUGCUGUCUAGUAUAGCAUAUAUACAGUGAAACUGCGAAUGGCUCAUUAAAUCAGUUAUCGUUUAUUUGAUAAUCCCUUACUACUUGGAUACCCGUGGUAAUUCUAGAGCUAAUACAUGCUACAAAUCCCGACCUCUGGAAGGGAUGUAUUUAUUAGAUAAAAAACCAAUGCCUUCUGACUCCUUGGUGAUUCUUGAUAACUUUACAAAUCGCAUGGUCUUGCGCCGGCGAUGGUUCAUUCAAAUUUCUGCCCUAUCAACUUUCUAUGGUAGGAUAGUGGCCUACCAUGGUGUCAACGGCUAACGGCGAAUGGGGCGGGGGCGGCGGGCCGGCGGCGGCGCGCGGCGGGCGACG